rnacentral:tRNA from 1 species
CAAGAGAUAGUUUAAUAAAAAUAUUAAUUUUGGAGAUUAAUGAUAAGCCUAAAAGUUUUUUCUUGA